rnacentral:rRNA from 1 species
UACGGAGGGUGCAAGCGUUAUCCGGAUUCACUGGGUUUAAAGGGUGCGUAGGCGGAUAUGUAAGUCCGUGGUGAAAUCUCUGGGCUUAACCCGGAAACUGCCAUGGAUACUAUGUGUCUUGAAUGUUGUUGAGGUGAGCGGAAUAUGUCAUGUAGCGGUGAAAUGCUUAGAUAUGACAUAGAACACCAAUUGCGAAGGCCAGCUCACUAAGCAAAUAUUGACGCUGAGGCACGAAAGCGUGGGGAGUAAACAGGA